rnacentral:rRNA from 1 species
AUGCAAGUCGAGCGCGAAAGUGGACUUCGGUCCGCGAGUAGAGCGGCGAACGGGUGAGUAACGCGUGGGUGAUCUACCUUCGAGUGGGGAAUAACACCGGGAAACUGGUGCUAAUACCGCAUGACAUCUUCGGUUCGUUCCGGGGAUCAAAGCUGGGGACCGUAAGGCCUGGCGCUUGAAGAGGAGCCCGCGUCCGAUUAGCUUGUUGGCGGGGUAAUGGCCCACCAAGGCUUCUAUCGGUAGCCGGCCUGAGAGGGCGGACGGCCACACUGGGACUGAGACACGGCCCAGACUCCUACGGGAGGCAGCAGUGGGGAAUUUUUCGCAAUGGGGGAAACCCUGACGAAGCAACGCCGCGUGGAGGAUGAAGGCCCUCGGGUCGUAAACUCCUGUCGAUCGGGAAGAAUGCGUCCGACCUAAUACGCCGGUGCGUUGACUGUACCGGUGGAGGAAGCCACGGCUAACUCUGUGCCAGCAGCCGCGGUAAGACAGAGGUGGCAAGCGUUGUUCGGAAUUACUGGGCGUAAAGGGCGCGCAGGCGGUUCGCCAAGUCCCGUGUGAAAUCCCCCGGCUCAACUGGGGAACUGCGCGGGAAACUAGUGGACUUGAGUUCGGGAGAGGAAAGCGGAAUUCCGGGUGUAGCGGUGAAAUGCGCAGAUAUCCGGAGGAACACCAGUGGCGAAGGCGGCUUUCUGGACCGACACUGACGCUGAGGCGCGAAAGCUAGGGGAGCGAACGGGAUUAGAUACCCCGGUAGUCCUAGCCCUAAACGAUGAG